UCAAAAAUAGGAAAAAGAAGAUCCGACCUGCCGGAAUCGAACCAGCGACCUAAAGAUUAUCUGUUUUAAACAACUACAGUCUUCCGCUCUACCAACUGAGCUAAGGUCGGAUGAU
rnacentral:tRNA from 1 species